AACACAUGCAAGUCGAGCGGGAUUAUUUGGAAGCUUGCUUCUAGAUAUGAGAGCGGCGAACGGGUGAGGAACACGUUGGAAUCUGCCCCCAAGUCAGGGAUAGCGAGAAGAAAUUCUCAUUAAUACCGGAUAGUCUCUUUGGAGUAAAAAUUUAUUGCUUGGGGAAGAGCCUGCGUUCUAUCAGCUUGUUGGUGAGAUAAAAGCUCACCAAGGCUAUGACGGAUAACUGGUCUGAGAGGAUGAUCAGUCACAAUGGAACUGAGACACGGCCCAAACUCCUACGGGAGGCAGCAGUGGGGAAUAUUGGACAAUGGGCGCAAGCCUGAUCCAGCCAUGCCGCGUGAGUGAUGAAGGCCUUAGGGUUGUAAAGCUCUUUCACCGGAGAAGAUAAUGAUGGUAUCCGGAGAAGAAGCCCCGGCUAACUUCGUGCCAGCCGCCGCCGUAA
rnacentral:rRNA from 1 species